rnacentral:sRNA from 1 species
GGUUGAAUAAUCAAAUCUGUAAUAGAUGGAAGAGAAUGGAGAAAAAUGGAAGAAAUUUAAAGGGCACAAGAAAACCUCCAUUAUUCCCAAUUAUAAUAUAAAAUAUUGUAAGAAAAAAAAUUUACAGCGUUAACAACUAGUGGUAAUCUUUUUAUUAACUACCAUUUUAUUUUGUAGUUUUGACAGAUCUUCUAGAUGCCAUGCACACUCUUAGGGAAAAAUAUGGUAUUAAAUCCCAUUGUCAUUGUACUAACAAACAGAAUUUACAAGUUGGAAAUUUUCCUACAAUGAAUGGUGUAUCUCAAGUUUUACAGAAUGUUCUUAAUCACAGUAAUAAAAUUUCUCUGUGCAUGCCUGAGUCUCAGCAGCAAAAUACUCCUCAGAAGUCUGAGAAAAAUGGUGGCAGCAGCCCAGAGAGUGAUGUAGGCACAGAUAACAAGUUAACUCCUCCAGAAUCCCAGUCACCACUGCACUGGUUAGCAGAUCUUGCAGAGCAAAAAGCCAGAGAGGAAAAAAAA